GUCAGGAUGGCCGAGCGGUCUAAGGCGCUGCGUUCAGGUCGCAGUCUCCCCUGGAGGCAGUGGGUUUGAAUCCCACUUCUGACA
rnacentral:tRNA from 1 species